UACGUAGGGUGCAAGCGUUGUCCGGAAUUAUUGGGCGUAAAGAGCUCGUAGGUGGCCUGUCGCGUCGGCUGUGAAAACCCAGGGCUCAACCCUGGGCCUGCAUUCGAUACGGGCAGACUAGAGUGUGGCAGGGGAGACUGGAAUUCCUGGUGUAGCGGUGAAAUGCGCAGAUAUCAGGAGGAACACCGGUGGCGAAGGCGGGUCUCUGGGCCAAUACUGACGCUGAGGAGCGAAAGCGUGGGGAGCGAACAGG
rnacentral:rRNA from 1 species